ACCAUAUCUGAUGGAAGUGGGAGAGAAACAAUCAUUAAAAUCGAUCCUGAUUUUCUCCAAUAAACGAGUGUAACAAUUAACAAGAGUAAAGAGGAAAACUAGUUAAUUUGAUAAAAGCCAAAUUUGGUAGAUUGUGUAACCGAGAUACAUGGUAAAGAAAUCAUUCUGCUAAAUCAAUUGCUCUGAGGAUUGGAUUUUGUUAUUGGCUGCUGUUGUUUGUUUCUUAAUUUGGUAAAAAUGUAUAAUAUUGGAUAUUGUAACAAAAUGGAUAUCAAAUUAAUAGUACAUUUAAUGCCACUUGACUAUAAUUAUGGGAAGGAUCGAAAGCUGAGGACAACAACUGGAUUGAUUAAACGAGUAUCAACAAAAACAAUAGGACAAAAGUCAAGCCAAAAAGAUGCAGAGAGAUGGAGGGAAAGGAUGGGACGAUAAAAAUCGCUGUUCACCUCUAAUUGAAAGUGAUAUAGUUAAUAUUAUAAUACUACCAUUUGUGAGCUGAGAUUGGUGAUUGUUGGAGACAGAUCAAACUGAGAUUGACUUAUUUACUGCAAUCAGCAAGAAAAUUGUUCACCAAGAAGAAGAUGAGAAUGAGAAGGAGAUAAUAAUGAUUAUAAUAGUGAAGAUAAUGUUUACCAUCUAAUGGAGUUGCAAGGAAGGAGAACCGUUUCUGAAUUACAUUGGAAUUGAGUAACCAUAUAAUAAUAAUGAUACAUAAAUACAUAGAAUAAUGAGAGAAAAGUUAUUGACUAUUAUUACUAUUAUGAUUAUUAUUGGUGAAAUGUGCGAUAAUAUUAAUAAGAAAAGGAUGAAGUGAACAUUAGAAUGAAAAUGUCAACCAACUGCUAUAUAAUAACGUAGUUAUUACUUCCAAUUUGGUCCCUCGCAUUAAUUACAUCAACCAAGUGGAAACAAAAAUGAUCAAAUUUAGACUGGCUCCACACACAAAAUUCAUGAUAAUCCCCAUCACGAGUACAAAUGCAGUUGAAUAAAGAUGAAAGCUAAAAGCAACAUUUACUUCAACUAAUAUGAAAGGAUUUGUCAGUUAAAAACGAUAAAAAAGUAAUGAAAUUUCUUGUAUCAUUAUUUUUCUGUUUUCAUCUUUAACCGUAAUACUUCACUAAAUUGGACAAAAAGAUUAAGGUUAACUCAAUGAUUUGCCAUUUUUGUCUAAUUAACUGUUAGAUUUGAAUUUCCUUUGGAUGAGCAGAUAUUUCAAUAAAUUCAAUUCAUCAUUA